GCCGCGCCUCGGUCCCGCCAGGUGCCGACCCCGCUCGGGUCGCCGGAGCAGGGUCCUCACUUGCCCGCAACCCCAGGCUUCCGCGCUUAGAGUGGAAAGCGCGAGCCCUGAAGCGGUGAAAGGAACGGGUCUCCUUUCUAGCAUCUUCCAGAACUUACCACGGAGAAUUCCCAUCUUCAUUCCUUGGGUACCUCUACAAGGAUGGAAUUCGUAUACGAGAUAAGCAGACAUUCAAAGGACUCAUCCUUGGAACAGCUCUCUCCCAGUGUUUACUCAGCUGCUUAGGGACACAAGUGUAGAAGUUGAAAAGAACGUGAACAUUUCAUGUCAGGCUCGGGGAGAACCAUAGCCCAUAAUUACAUGGAAUAAGGCGCAGUGCAAUGGCCGUGUUUCUGUGUGGCAGGCAGAGCUACUUGCUAUGGUGAUUCAGGAGCCAGACCCCUUUCUCGGGUUCUGCCGUUGCCGGGGGCUGCAGGUGUACAUGUUAUGAGAGGGUGCGGAUGACACCUUACCGUCUGUGACAGUGGACAGUUACAGUCGCUGAGUGAGUUCCAUCCCCGGGACGGGGCUGCAUGAACCCUGCGGAGGAAAACGGCAGUGAUGGACACCGGCCGGGACAACCUCCCUCCCCGGCGCGGGCUCUCCUCCUGAGCCAGGCUCACUGCUUCCCGAACUUUCUCCCCCGAGGAUGAGUUCUCUUCCCAGAUGGCCUCAGCUCCUUUGAAACUCUAAGAGCUACCCCCAAUAUCAGGAGUGCUGGAUACGGUAUAUUAUACCAGGAACAUUUGUGUUUUUUCAUCACUGCCACCUGCUGUUGCCACUCUAUUUUACCACACAAAUUUCUGCUUCUACAUCAGCAACAAGGUGGAAUCUACCUGGUUGACUGAAGACUAUGCACCCUGACUACUAUUGAAUCAUGCUGUUUUGUCCCAAACAAUUUUACAGAGAGAAAGUCCAUUCAUGUAUAUUAUUCACCUACCAAAGCUUCUGUGUUCAUUGUAUGCAAACCCAAGUGUCCACGGACCACAGAGUGCAGCGUGUGCAAUGUGGAACGAGACGCAGUGUGUGUAUUAGAUAGCAGCUUCUUACAUUGACUGUGACAGUGACAUUAAAUACUAGUGCGGCACUGUGCAUUCACCAUCUGGCAUGCUGGAGUUUACAAAAACAGCCCAGAACAAGAUUUUAAUAGAAGUGGGUGUCCUGGUUGUCUUUCAGAUUCUGUUGCUUAUCAAUCGUCAGAGACUAUU